CACCGCGGUUAUACGUACAGUCCAAGUUGACAGACACCGGCGUAAAGGGUGGUUACGGGACCCCCCCCCGCACUAAAGUCGAACUUCCCCCUACGCUGUUAUACGCAUCCGGGGGCGUGAAGCCCCACCACGAAAGUGACUUUAACCCACCCCGAACCCACUACCGCUAUGAAAA
rnacentral:rRNA from 1 species